rnacentral:lncRNA from 1 species
CGUGGGCUCUGCAGAGCAGGCACCUUGUUUAACCCAUCCCUGGGCAGAGUGAAAGCCACAGCCAACGAUGGACAGAAGAGACACAUGAAGGUGGUGACGCACUGAACAGGUUGCCCAAGGAGGCUGUGGAUGCCCCAUCCCUGGAGGCAUUCAAGGCCAGGCUGGAUGUGGCUCUGGGCAGCCUGGGCUGCUGGUUGGCAGCCCUGCACACAGCAGGGGGUUGGAACUGAUGAGCAUUGUGGUCCUUUUCAACCCAGGCCAUUCUAUGAUUCUAUGACAAUGGCCCCUUCCAACCCACUGCAAUUGGGGUGGCUCUGUGGACAUCACUGUGGCACUGGGAGAUGACACUGCCCUCCACCACGCUUUGGGAUGCCCUCUGGAGACCCAGAGGCUCUGCUUCUUAUUACCACGAACAAACUCAAAGGCUGUGAUGCAGGAAAUCAACGGCGCUGUUUUCUUCCACCUUUCAACUGAAUCCCACGUUUGGUUAUUUCUUAAGAUGGGCAAAACUCUGCUGCGACGCCACGAACAAAGCUGCUGGCACAGAGAAGCUCUAAAGCUGUUUCGUGAACCAAGACUCACCUCAGACCCUAAUGAGUGCCAGACCAACCAGAGUCACACCUGUGGAUGCAGAGUGCUACCCCCACAACAACAGUCCUUGCAUUAGUCAAGGUCCCUGCUGGUAACCUGAAUUUUGUUGUAUUCUCUGGGAGACAGCACAGAAAUCAAAGGCUCACACAGCUGGCAGUAAUUCACAGUGGGAAAACGCUCCUGGCUGCUUAUUUAUCAGAGCCUCAAUACCCCCAGAACCCAUAGGGCUCAUACAGCAUCAGGAUGUGCUGUAAUGUUUUUUCACAGGGAGCAGCCAGAGAUGCAUGCUGCAGAAGGAAUCCUUUCCCUGCAUUAAGCCUGGACCCCCAGACCUGGCUGCUAAAGCCUCCACCCAAACAGCCCCCUCUGUCCUGCCCCUUCCCAGCACCAGGGUGUAGAGCAGUCAUUGGAGAACCACUGAACAGCAUCUUCUUCACUACUUAACGUAGAGUGUUUUGCUGUCCUUCCACGGCAUACAAACACAUGUGGGCUACAGGAGAGAUGCUUCUCAGCAGGAGCCUGCUCUGCAUUUAUGGGGCUAUAAAUUAGGUCUCCAGAGUAAGGUAUUUUGUGAGGAAAUGAGGCCCAUUACCCCAGUUCUGUUACUUAAAAGAGGUAACAGUUUACACCGGAGGAUAACAGCCAGCUUUCUUCUAAGCAAGCACUGAGGGCAAAAGGAACCACUGUGCAGGAUGCAGCCCAGAGCUGCUCCCAGAAGAGGUGCUGUGGGGACAACUAUGGCCAAGGCUCGGGGCUGGCAACAGGGAAGGACAGCAGCAGUGGGAUGGAUGCAAUGGGACGGAGACCAUCUGCUGGCAAAUCAGGCGCAUCAGCACUAAAGUGCUGCUCAAAACCAAAGAUUGGAGAGCUCCAGCUCCAGGUGUGUGCCACAGCAGUGGGACACCUCUGCACUGCCAGCAGCCACUGCACUGCCAGGCUUAGUGCUACCUGGGGAGCAGGGCACCGAGCCCAGCUCUGCCUGCAUGGGGGAUCACACCCUGUGCACCAGCAAAGCCCUCCCCGUGCCGUGCCAGCACCGCCUGAGCACGCUUGGAGAGUUAAGAAGCUCCCA